rnacentral:rRNA from 1 species
ACGAGUCUCCAAACGACUCCGGCAACGGAUUUCUGGGUUCUCUCAUCGGAUGAAGAACGUAGCGAAAUGCGAUACGUGGUGUGAAUUGCAGAAUCCCGCGAACCAUCGAAUCUUUGAACGCAAGUUGCGCCCGAGGCCGCUGGGCCGAGGGCACGCCUGCCUGGGCGUCACGC